AUACGUAGGUGGCAAGCGUUGUCCGGAUUUACUGGGUGUAAAGGGCGUGUAGGCGGGGAUGCAAGUCAGAUGUGAAAUUCCGGGGCUCAACCCCGGCGCUGCAUCUGAAACUGUAUCUCUUGAGUGCUGGAGAGGAAAGCGGAAUUCCUAGUGUAGCGGUGAAAUGCGUAGAUAUUAGGAGGAACACCAGUGGCGAAGGCGGCUUUCUGGACAGUAACUGACGCUGAGGCGCGAAAGCGUGGGGAGCGAACAGGAUUAGAUACCCUGGUAGUCCACGCCGUAAACGAUGGAUACUAGGUGUAGGAGGUAUCGACCCCUUCUGUGCCGGAGUUAACACAAUAAGUAUCCCACCUGGGGAGUACGGCCGCAAGGUUGAAACUCAAAUGAAUUGACGGGG
rnacentral:rRNA from 1 species